rnacentral:rRNA from 1 species
GACAGAGGGUGCAAACGUUGUUCGGAAUUACUGGGCGUAAAGCGCGUGUAGGCGGCUGUGGUAAGUCGGGCGUGAAAUCCCAUGGCUCAACCAUGGAAGUGCACCCGAAACUGCGUAGCUAGAGUCCUGGAGAGGAAGGUGGAAUGCUUGGUGUAGAGGUGAAAUUCGUAGAUAUCAAGCGGAACACCGGUGGCGAAGGCGGCCUCUGGACAGUGACUGACGCUGAGACGGCGAAA